GAAUGGUGUAAUAGUUAGCACUCUGGGCUUUGAAUCCAGGGAUCCAAGUUCAUAUCUUGGUUC
rnacentral:tRNA from 1 species